rnacentral:sRNA from 1 species
AAAUAAGAGUUGCUGGCAAUUAUAGUUUCUGAUGGGUGUUUAGUUUUAUUGUCUUCUCUUUUGAAAUAAAGUCUUUUUGUUUAAUUUUAAUUUUCUUUUUCAGUUCAAAUCUGAACAUCAAUGAUGUACUGGGGAACUACUCAUUGACUCUUGUUGAUGCAUUGGAUACACUUGCAAUAAUGGGAAAUUCAUCCGAGUUCCAGAAAGCAGUCAAGUUAGUGAUCAACACAGUUUCAUUUGACAAAGAUUCCACCGUCCAAGUCUUUGAGGCCACGAUAAGGGUCCUGGGAAGCCUCCUUUCUGCUCA